AAAUUGAAGAGUUUGAUCAUGGCUCAGAUUGAACGCUGGCGGCAGGCCUAACACAUGCAAGUCGAACGGUAACAGAAAGAAGCUUGCUUCUUUGCUGACGAGUGGCGGACGGGUGAGUAAUGUCUGGGAAACUGCCUGAUGGAGGGGGAUAACUACUGGAAACGGUAGCUAAUACCGCAUAACGUCGCAAGACCAAAGAGGGGGACCUUCGGGCCUCUUGCCAUCGGAUGUGCCCAGAUGGGAUUAGCUUGUUGGUGGGGUA
rnacentral:rRNA from 1 species